rnacentral:lncRNA from 1 species
ACUUCCGUGCGGCAGGGGGAUAAUAACAAACAAACACAUAAUCCGCAAGGUAUUUCUAGACAACGGCAAAGCUUUGUGUAUUGAAGAAAAUGUCGGGCAAAAGUUUGCCAUCCUUCCUGGACGUCCUACAUUGUUGAUCUUUGUUCAUUGUGUGUGGUCUUUUUUUUCCUUGAAUUAAUUAGCAGGCUACACUGUGUCGGGCUGCUAUGAGGUCACGAUGGUAUCGUAGCUGCCGCGGCUAUCGCCAUUCGGCUUAACCCCCCCACCAUGAGGGUACUGUCGGCGGCGGAAACGCAAGCCGUAACUGAGCCACACCGAACCGCACCUUCACUACUCUAACAAGCCGCACCAAACUGACCCGCACCCUCCGGUGGAAAUGCGCCAUUACAAGCCAUUUUGAAAAUCUGCCCCUUAUGACAUCACAAGUGGGAGCGUCCACCUAGAUGUGUGCUGGAUAGAUCAGUGAGCUGACUGGUCCCAGUUGAUCUUAAAGGUUGCGAGGGCUCAAAUAGAGAAAACAUUACAAACGAUAUUGAUUUAAAGGUACUACUGGUGUGCUCAGGUGAACAGUGAUCAUGCUGACAGACCAGGCGUUCAGCCCUUAUGCGUUACUGAAAAUGUGACUUAACUUUUCUUUGCUUAUCGUUUGAUUGAUGUUUGGGACCAUACAUUUGAUACUUUUCUACCUUAACUACGGAUAGCUUGAUUUUCUGUAUUGGUUAUUGAUUUCUGCAUUUAUUUUUUUUGCUUGUACUGCAGAAAAACACGAGUUGAACAAAGGCAUAACGUAACCUGCAAUAGAGGAAAGCUGCCACAGUGAGAAUGCAGGAAUAUGAUAACCCAUAAUAACUUACUUCGGGCCAACUAUUCCUACACCUACCCUGCCAUAGAGGAAAACUGCCACAGGGCCACUGCACCAGGGAUUGAGAGUGGCGGAGUUGGAGGGAUCGGAGGACCACUCGUUCUCUCUGAACACGAUGUCAGGAGGACAUUUAAGCUGGUGAACGCCAGGAAGGCUGCAGGACCAGAUGAGAUAGCGGGGCGGGUUCUCAAGGUCUGCGCCGAUCAAUUGGCACCAGUGUUCACGGCUAUAUUCAAGCCUAGACCAUAA